rnacentral:rRNA from 1 species
UACGGGGGGGCAAGGCGUUGUUCGGAAUUACUGGGCGUAAAGGCGCGUAGGCGGCCUGCUAAGUCGGACGAUGAAAUCCCCGGGCUCAACCGGGAACUGCGUCCGAUACUGGUGGGCUCGAAUCCGGGAGAGGGAUGUGGAAUUCCAGGUGUAGCGGUGAAAUGACGUAGAUAUCUGGAGGAACACCGGUGGCGAAGGCGGCAUCCUGGACCAAUUCUGACGCUGAGGAGCGAAAGCCAGGGGAGGCAAACGGG